GCAUGAUUCCUACGAAUAUUUACGGAAUAACGACAGAACACCCACGAUUGAAUUAGUCUUUGUCUAUUGGUCGCUAGAAAAUCUACGUUUAUUCGAUUUAUUGAUUCGUACCAAGUUUUUGGGAUUUCAACGUAAAUUUUCAUAUUAAACAGUUGUGUCACGUUACGUAUGGUAUUGAUCAGUGUGAAAAACUGUUACCCUAAAUGGGAUUUGAAUUGCACCAAAGUUAAAGAUCUAAAAUAAAUCUGGUUAAACAAAAACAAAGCUCAAGGCCCUAGCAAAAACUAUAUAUUUACUGGUAUUCAUUGAUUUUGAGAGAACCCUCCUUCCAUAAAAGAGGGUUCUGGGUUCUGGUGUAAAAUUCUAGCAUUGGGUCAUAGGUUUUCCAAGCCAUCUGAAUCUAGAAUUUUUAUUAUACAAACACUGAACCGUGGGAGCCAGAAGGACAGCAAAUCCAGAAUAAAGGAUAGGGAAAAGGGCUACCAAUAUCCAGCAAAUAACCCAAACCAAAACAGAUAAGAUUAGAUACAUACGUUUUUGUUAUUUCCAUUUGAACUUUGAUUUCGUAGAUUUCAAUAUACGAGUUUAUUACCCAUCAAAUAUUGAGAAAUCAUAUGAUUAGUUUGUUGUGAACCACGCGCAUGUACAUGUUACUGGGAGGAAGUUGUUGUUGAGAACAAUAAUUACGUACCUUUUUUUUUGCUCUUCAAGCGUGAUACGUGUUGUGGGAUAUUUUUGUUCUUAUCAUUAAAUUAUUCAAUAUACUCAGAAGCUAAGUUUCAAUAUAUUCAUAUAUAAUCAAU